GACGAACGCUGGCGGCGUGCUUAACACAUGCAAGUCGAACGGUAAGGCCCUUCGGGGUACACGAGUGGCGAACGGGCGAGUAACACGUGGGUGAUCUGCCCUGCACUUCGGGAUAAGCCUGGGAAACCGGGUCUAAUACCGGAUAGGACUCCGGACUGCAUCGUCUGGGGUGGAAAGCUUUUGCGGUGUGGGGUGGGCCCGCGGCCUAUCAGCAUGGUGGUGGGGGGAUGGCCUACCAAGGCGACGACGGGUAGCCGGCCUGAGAGGGUGACCGGCCACACUGGGACUGAGAUACGGCCCAUACUCCUACGGGAGGCAGCAGUGGGGAAUAUUGCACAAUGGGCGCAAGCCUGAUGCAGCGACGCCGCGUGAGGGAUGACGGCCUUCGGGUUGUAAACCUCUUUCAGCAUCGACGAAGCGAAAGUGACGGUAGGUGCAGAAGAAGGACCGGCCAACUACGUGCCAGCAGCCGCCGUAA
rnacentral:rRNA from 1 species